CCUACGGGAGGCAGCAGUGGGGGAUAUUGCACAAUGGGGGAAACCCUGAUGCAGCGACGCCGCGUGGGCGAAGAAGUAUUUCGGUAUUUAAAGCCCUAUCAGCAGGGAAGAAGAAAUGACGUUACCUGCGUCAUAAUCACCGUCUAAAUACGUGCCAGCCGCCGCGGUACUACGUAUGGUGCAAGCGUUAUCCGGAUUUACUGGGUGUAAAGGGAGCGCAGGCGGCAAGGCAAGACUGAUGUGAAAGCCCGCGGCCCAACCGCGGGACUGCAGUGGGAACGACCGGGGUGGAGUGCCGGAGAGGUAGGCGGAAUUCCUAGUGUAGCGGUGAAAUGCGUAGAUAUUAGGAGGAACACCAGGGGCGAAGGCGGCCUACUGGACGGUGACUGACGCUGAGGCUCGAAAGCGUGGGGAGCAAACAGGAUUAGAUACCCGGGUAGUC
rnacentral:rRNA from 1 species